CCCCGGUAAACGGCGGCCGUAACUAUAACGGUCCUAAGGUAGCGAAAUUCCUUGUCGGGUAAGUUCCGACCUGCACGAAUGGCGUAAUGAUGGCCAGGCUGUCUCCACCCGAGACUCAGUGAAAUUGAACUCGCUGUGAAGAUGCAGUGUACCCGCGGCAAGACGGAAAGACCCCGUGAACCUUUACUAUAGCUUGACACUGAACAUUGAGCCUUGAUGUGUAGGAUAGGUGGGAGGCUUUGAAGUGUGGACGCCAGUCUGCAUGGAGCCGACCUUGAAAUACCACCCUUUAAUGUUUGAUGUUCUAACGUGGACCCGUAAUCCGGGUUGCGGACAGUGUCUGGUGGGUAGUUUGACUGGGGCGGUCUCCUCCUAAAGAGUAACGGAGGAGC
rnacentral:rRNA from 1 species